rnacentral:misc_RNA from 1 species
AAAGUCGUAACAAGGUUUCCGUAGGUGAACCUGCGGAAGGAUCAUUAACACGAAUUUUAUCCAAUACCAAACCAAACGUGAACUUUUCCCCUCCCUAUUCUAUUAUGAAUUUAUUUUCAUAUAGAGUAGGCUAACCUUUUUUACUCUAUAUAUAAUAACAAUUUCUUCAUAUCCUUUAUCGGAUUGAAGUUUUCUAUUGUAUAUAUAGUCUUUAACUCCUAAAACUUUAACUCUAGUUUGUCGAGGUCUCCUCUUCAACUACUAACACUAAAAAAUGUCAUUUCUCUUAAUUGAGUGUGGCUUUUUUCGAUAUACGAAAUUAAGAACAACUCUUAACAAUGGAUAUCUUGGUUCUC